CUGUAUGCCUUGAAUGUGAAGUCCUGGGGAUGCCAAUCUCAUUCCAAUGCUGAACACUGACAAGAAGAUUCAGGGGUUUCUGAGGUGUCUCAGUUUAGGUUUCUGGCUAUUCGGAUCAGACUGGACUGCAAACGAUGUCUGUCCUCAGAACCUGGGAUAGUAUCAGGUACCCCCACUGAAGAUCCCCUCAAGCAGCUCCUCUCAGCCUGUGCAAAUCCAACACGACAGUUUGCCAAUGUGUUCCCAAUUAGUGCAACAAAACCUCAAUGGGAAAUUUCAAAAUGCUUUAAGCCAAUUAGGACUUUGCAGCUUGUUGAAGUGUGAUCAUGCUUAUGACUCUCAGACCCUCCAGGACAUGGACUGAUGCAACAGCUUCCUCGAGCACAAAACCAUGUUUUUUAAGGGUGUGGAAGAGAAAGAGAGAGGUGAGUGAGCUUGUAAAAAAUAUAUUUUUACAGCUGGCCGCUGGCCAAAACUUCAAUACCAACACAUUUGAAGAAGCAUAAAUAUGCUGAAGUGGAAAAAAAAAGUCCAAGCGAAAUGGCAAACAGGAUCCCCAGAGAAAGAGUUACUAAUCGAAAUCCCAUGACAACAGCUGCCCCCAUGCA